UCUGCCCCUAGAAGCAUUGCAGGUGUGGCUGUGGUGUCCCAUGUUUGUAUCACAGUAGCUGGCAGAGAGGAGAGAAGCGGUGCUUAUGCUCCGUGUUCUGACCUGUGAACAUCUGAAGGAUUAGAUUCCCUGA
ensembl:snoRNA